GCAGUCGAGCGGACAGAUGGGAGCUUGCUCCCUGAUGUUAGCGGCGGACGGGUGAGUAACACGUGGGUAACCUGCCUGUAAGACUGGGAUAACUCCGGGAAACCGGGGCUAAUACCGGAUGCUUGUUUGAACCGCAUGGUUCAAACAUAAAAGGUGGCUUCGGCUACCACUUACAGAUGGACCCGCGGCGCAUUAGCUAGUUGGUGAGGUAACGGCUCACCAAGGCAACGAUGCGUAGCCGACCUGAGAGGGUGAUCGGCCACACUGGGACUGAGACACGGCCCAGACUCCUACGGGAGGCAGCAGUAGGGAAUCUUCCGCAAUGGACGAAAGUCUGACGGAGCAACGCCGCGUGAGUGAUGAAGGUUUUCGGAUCGUAAAGCUCUGUUGUUAGGGAAGAACAAGUACCGUUCGAAUAGGGCGGUACCUUGACGGUACCUAACCAGAAAGCCACGGCUAACUACGUGCCAGCAGCCGCGGUAAUACGUAGGUGGCAAGCGUUGUCCGGAAUUAUUGGGCGUAAAGGGCUCGCAGGCGGUUUCUUAAGUCUGAUGUGAAAGCCCCCGGCUCAACCGGGGAGGGUCAUUGGAAA
rnacentral:rRNA from 1 species